CCGUAGCUCAACGGAUAGAGCAUCUGACUACGGAUCAGAAGGUUAGGGGUUCGAAUCCCUUCGGG
rnacentral:tRNA from 4 species